GCUUCGGUGGACUAGUGGUUAGAGCGCCCAUCUCAGAUGCGGGACGUCGCGGGUUCGAACCCCGGCCGAAUCC